CAGGGUCUUGCGACUGCCCAAACCAACCGUGAACCUUUCAUAACAAAAUGCUCUGGCGGGCCGCUCGCUGGGGGAGCCGAGGGCCUGCCUUUUGUAGGCCGGUCCGCCGAAGCAUGAACCAAAACCAAAAAAAUUCUGAAAAUUUCUGAGAAGCAACUUUCUGAAAAGAAAAAAAUGUCA
rnacentral:misc_RNA from 1 species